UACGAAGGGUGCAAGCGUUACUCGGAAUUACUGGGCGUAAAGCGUGCGUAGGUGGUUUGUUAAGUCUGAUGUGAAAGCCCUGGGCUCAACCUGGGAAUUGCAUUGGAUACUGGCAGGCUAGAGUGCGGUAGAGGAUGGCGGAAUUCCCGGUGUAGCAGUGAAAUGCGUAGAGAUCGGGAGGAACAUCUGUGGCGAAGGCGGCGACCUGGUCCGAGACUGACGCUGAGGCGCGAAAAGCGUGGGGGAGCAAACAGG
rnacentral:rRNA from 1 species